GAGGGUAUAGCUCAGUGGUAGAGUGUGUACUUAGUAUACACAAGGUCCUGGGUUCAAUCCCCAAUGCCUCA
rnacentral:tRNA from 1 species